rnacentral:lncRNA from 1 species
UUUUACUCAUAUGUGAAAUUUAAGAAAUAACAAAAAAAAUAAGCAAAGGAAAAAACAGGGAGAGAGAGAUAGUGGGAGAGACAAAUCAAGAAACAAGAGUCUUAACUACAGAGAACAAACUGAGGUUCCCAGAGGAGAGGUGGGGGCGAUGCAGAAAACAAGUAAUGGGAAUUAAGUUCACUUGUAAUGAUGAGCACAGGGUGAUGUGUGGAAUUGUUGAAUCACUCAGGUGUCAUAUACCUGAAACUAAUAAAACAUUGUAUGUUAACUAUAUUGAAAUUUAAAAUAAAAUUAAAGGAAGAGUUAAAAUGGUGGAGAGUAGCAUACCCUAUGUUUGCCUCAUCCUUCUAACAUAAUUAGAUAAAUAUCAUGUUGUUCUGAACACCCAAGAAUCCAUCUGAGGACUGAGAGAACAAACUGCACAACUAGCAGGAGAAAAGAGGCCAUGCUGUGAAAGGGGAGUUGCCAAAAUAUGAUUUGGAGGAGAAAAGAAUUGAGGGCACCAUGGAGAGGUUGGAGCCCUGAGCAAGGAGGAGGUGGGGAGAGGCAGAGAGUGAGAAAGGGAGAGAGCAUAUGAAAUGCACAGGGGACCAAAAAAAAAACACUUCCCCAGAACCAUUGACUGGGAAAAUGAGAGGGGCUGAUUGUUGGGAGUUUUUGCAACCAGUGGAGCUCAAAGUCUGAAGUUUUAGAAGUCCAUGCCAUGACCAGUGUGGAGUCCGGUGGAUACAGCAGUGCCUCCAUGGGGAAGGAGGGCAGAUGCCUGGGAGCAAAUAGCAGUCUAAGGAUCCCCUGGGAUAUAAUGGGAGAGACAUUUCUCCCUUCCUGGAGUGCAUCUGGGAGAGAGGGUAUUGGCUCUCAGGGGACAAAAGAGCUAGCUGCUGCCAUUGCACUGUUCUAUUCCUUAGCACAAGGGCAGACACCUGCCGAGGGCACCUAAUCUGGACAGUGGCUUCAUGCUGUGCUUUACUUUACUCUCCAAGCUCCUGUGCAUUCAUGAGACUUCCCUUCUGGGACAAAAUGGCACCAACCCCAGUGUAGUGAGACCCUCCUCCAGAGGAUCAGUAUGGGCCUGAAAAAAACACAGAUGCACUGUGCUGCCAGGUGAGCAGAUGGCUCAGACACAGACAGGGUGAAGAAAGGGAUCUGAAGGACACGUGGGACACACAAGGGAAGAUUAUCUGCUCUUCUGUGAGGGAUUUCUGGACGCAGGAGGCACAACUGUCCUCUCAGGAUGAGGGAGAGGGCUCAUGCCAUUUCUCUCCCCUGCCCAUCAGCACGGACUGACUUCAGUGAACAGAACAGCAACCACAGUGGAGGCCUGAACUGCGUACAGCAAUCCCCACCCCUCUGCACUCUGCAAGUGCUUAUUUACCAGGACAAGUGUGCCUGAGAACCAGAGCAGUGCGUCCCUCCCCCAUAAGACCAGAAAAAACCUCUGCAUACACCAAGUCUACUGACCAUAGACUGCUGCAAAGCUUCAGCUCUAGUGGGAAAAUGAUCAGGCCUCUUUUCACAUACAGACCAGAGCACACCUAGUUAAAGUUCACCACACAUUGGACAAGGUCCAAACACUCCCCUCUGCAGGCAAGGAGAAACUCUCCAGAAGACGGACCCGAGGGAAAAAGAAGCCAAACAAGCAGCAUCAUACACCAGAAACACUUCCUGAGGCCCCAGGCCCUGGACAGUAUAUGACUUCUUCAUAAAGGUAUUACUCUCAGAGGCAGGAAACAUUACAGGCUUUCCUAACAUGGAGAAGACAGAGAUCUAGACAAAAUGCCAAGAUCGAGGAAUUCAUCCAAAAGAAAGAACAAGAAAAGUCACAACUAGGGAUCUAAUCAAAACAGAUAUAAGUAAUAUGACUAAUCCAGAUUUUUAAAAAUAUUUUUAUUUAUUUAUUCAUGAGAGACAUAGAAAGAGGCAGAGACAUAGGCAGAGGGAGAGGCAGGCUCCUCACAGGGAGCCUGAUGUGGGACUUAAUCCUGGGCCCCAAGAUCAUGCCCUGAGCUGAAGGCAGACACUCAACCACUCAGCCACCGAGGCAUCCCCCUGAUCCAGAACUUAAAACAACAACCAUAAGGAUACUAACUGGGCUCAAGAAAUGCAUAGAAGACACCAGAUGUCCCCUUCUGCAGAGACAAAAGACCUAAAGCCUAGUCAGGCCAAAAUAAAAAAAAAAA